rnacentral:rRNA from 1 species
CUACGGGAUGCUCCAGUGAGGAAUAUUGGUCAAUGGGCGAGAGCCUGAACCAGCCAUCCCGCGUGCAGGAUGACGGCCCUAUGGGUUGUAAACUGCUUUUCCAUACCAAGAAACCUGAUUACGUGUAAUUAGUUGCCGGUAGUAUGGGAAUAAGCAUCGGCUAACUCCGUGCCAGCAGCCGCGGUAAUACGGAGGAUGCAAGCGUUACCCGGAUUCAUUGGGUUUAAAGGGUGCGCAGGUGGGCCUGUAAGUCAGUGGUGAAAUGUUGCCGCUUAACGGUAAAAUUGCCAUUGAUACUGCAAGUCUUGAAUAUAGUUGAGGUAGGCGGAAUGUGUUGUGUAGCGGUGAAAUGCAUAGAUAUGACACAGAACACCGAUUGCGAAGGCAGCUUACUAAGCUAUUAUUGACGCUGAGGCACGAAAGCGUGGGGAUCGAACAGGAUUAGAUACCCGCGUAGUC